GAUGAACGCUGGCGGCGUGCCUAAUACAUGCAAGUCGAGCGAACGGACGAGAAGCUUGCUUCUCUGAUGUUAGCGGCGGACGGGUGAGUAACACGUGGAUAACCUACCUAUAAGACUGGGAUAACUUCGGGAAACCGGAGCUAAUACCGGAUAAUAUUUUGAACCGCAUGGUUCAAAAGUGAAAGACGGUCUUGCUGUCACUUAUAGAUGGAUCCGCGCUGCAUUAGCUAGUUGGUAAGGUAACGGCUUACCAAGGCAACGAUGCAUAGCCGACCUGAGAGGGUGAUCGGCCACACUGGAACUUAGCCACGGUCCAGACUCCUACGGGAGGCAGCAGUAGGGAAUAUUCCGCAAUGGGCGAAAGCCUGACGGAGCAACGCCGCGUGAGUGAUGAAGGUCUUCGGAUCGUAAAACUCUGUUAUUAGGGAAGAACAUAUGUGUAAGUAACUGUGCACAUCUUGACGGUACCUAAUCAGAAAGCCACGGCUAACUACGUG
rnacentral:rRNA from 1 species